UAGUUCGAUCCUGGCUCAGGAUGAACGCUGGCGGCAUGCCUAAUACAUGCAAGUCGAACGGAGUGAAGCCUUCGGGUUUCAUUCAGUGGCGAACGGGUGAGUAAUACGCAGGGAACCUGGCCAUGGCAGGGGGAUACACUCUGGAAACGGAGCAUAAGACCCCAUAGGCAGUAAGGCGGCAUCGCCUUACUGUUAAAGAAAGCUGAAAGGCUUUGGCGAUGGAUGGACCUGCGGUGCAUUAGCUUGUUGGUGAGGCAACGGCUUACCAAGGCGAUGAUGCAUAGCCGGCCUGAGAGGGCGGACGGCCACACUGGGACUGAGACACGGCCCAGACUCCUGCGGGAGGCAGCAGUAGGGAAUUUUCGUCAAUGGGCGCAAGCCUGAACGAGCAAUGCCGCGUGAGUGAGGAAGGUCUUCGGACUGUAAAGCUCUGUUGCCGGGGAAAAAGGGGAAAUGCAGGAAAUGGCAUUUCAUGGAUGGUACCCGGCCAGAAAGCCACGGCUAACUACGUGCCAGCAGCCGCGGUAAUACGUAGGUGGCGAGCGUUAUCCGGAAUGAUUGGGCGUAAAGGGUGCGCAGGCGGUCUGUUAAGUCUGAAGGCAAAGGGAUGAGCUCAACUCAUUUAUGAUUCAGAAACUGGCAGACUUGAGGACAGGAGAGGGCGGUGGAACUCCAUGUGUAGCGGUAAAAUGCGCAGAGAUAUGGAAGAACACCAGUGGCGAAGGCGGCCGCCUGGCCUGUGACUGACGCUGAGGCACGAAAGCGUGGGGAGCAAAUAGGAUUAGAUACCCUAGUAGUCCACGCCGUAAACGAUGAGGAGCAGGUGUUGGGAGUGAAAUCUCAGUGCCGAAGCCAACGCAGUGACUCCUCCGCCUGGGGAGUAUGCACGCAAGUGUGAAACUCAAAGGAAUUGACGGGGGCCCGCACAAGCGGUGGAGUAUGUGGUUUAAUUCGAAGCAACGCGAAGAACCUUACCAGGUUUUGACAUCGGAUGCGAAGGCGCAGAGAUGCGCUGGAGGCUAUCAUCCAGACAGGUGGUGCAUGGUUGUCGUCAGCUCGUGUCGUGAGAUGUUCAGUUAAGUCUGGCAACGAGCGCAACCCCCGUGGUAUGUUACUAACGCAUUUGGGCGAGGACUCAUAUCAGACUGCCGGUGACAAACCGGAGGAAGGCGGGGAUGACGUCAAAUCAUCAUGCCCCUUAUGACCUGGGCUACACACGUACUACAAUGGCGUCUACAGAGGGAAGCGACCCUGAGAAGGGAAGCGAAACCGGAAAAGGGCGUCCCAGUUCGGAUUGAAGUCUGCAACCCGACUUCAUGAAGAUGGAAUCGCUAGUAAUCGCGGAUCAGCAUGCCGCGGUGAAUACGUUCCCGGGCCUUGUACACACCGCCCGUCAAACCAUGGAAGCCGGCAACGCCCGAAGCCGGUGGCAUAACCUUUUAGGAGUGAGCCGUCGAAGGCGGGGUUGAUGACUGGGGUUAAGUCGUAACAACCUACCC
rnacentral:rRNA from 1 species